rnacentral:rRNA from 1 species
GUGGGGAAUAUUGCGCAAUGGGGGAAACCCUGACGCAGCAAUACCGCGUGAGUGAAGAAGGUUUUCGGAUCGUAAAACUCUUUUAUUGGGGAAGAAGAAGUGACGGUACCCAAUGAAGAAGUCCCGGCUAACUACGUGCCAGCAGCCGCGGUAAUACGUAGGGGGCGAGCGUUGCUCGGAUUGACUGGGCGUAAAGCGCGCGUAGGCGGUCCAUUAAGUGUGCGGUGAAAUUCGGAGGCUCAACCUCCGUCCCGCCGCGCAAACUGAUGGUCUUGAGAUUAGGAGGGGGAUGCGGAAUUCCUGGUGUAGCGGUGAAAUGCAUUGAUAUCAGGAGGAACACCGGUGGCGAAGGCGGCCACCUGGACAGGUACUGACGCUGAGGCGCGAAAGCGUGGGGAGCAAACAGGAUUAGAAACCCCAGUAGUCC